rnacentral:ribozyme from 1 species
UUUUUUUUUUUUUUUUUUUUUUUUUUUUUGUUU